ensembl:snoRNA
GUUGGAUGAAAAUCAUUCUGGCUUUGGCCAUGGCUGUGGGUGAGAUUCCACGCCUAGAGCCACCGGGGCCUCUACUUACCUCCCACUGCUUGGGUGUGAGGAGUUGAAAACCAGGCCCCGACAGGU